CUAUCAAAACCCUAAUUUGAGUAACAAAUUCAAGCUCAAUUGAAGAAUAAUACCUGAUGAGCUCAGUCGAAACCCUAAGCAAACUUUUAGCAAUCGAAGAACUUCGAACUUCAACUCCAAUCGAAACGCCCAAACUAAAACCCCCAAUUGAAACCCAAAUUAGCAAUAAAUUGAAUCCCCUAACUUUUAGCAGUAAAUCUUCAUAUCUUCACAACUUUGAACAGCAAAUCUUCAUAUCUUCAUAACUUUGAGCAAGAAAACUUUUAGCAGUGAUUUUGGAUGAGUGUGUGGGAGUGAAU
rnacentral:lncRNA from 1 species